ACUACGUUUGUCAAAAAAAAUAUCGCUCCCAAGUCGCAACCGACGUACUGCUAGGUGGCCAGGCCACCCAAUAGUUGGUUUGUUCGGUUCAGCUAUGUUGACUUCGCAUGCCCUUGAGCGAGCCACCCUCCCAAUAUCUAUCUUCUCCCGGUAGGGUUCGUCCGCCUAGCGGUCGCCGCCCACCGAGCUCCGGCUGCCGCCGCGCAUCUCCCCGGCUACACCACCUUGCGCGAUGUUUCCUUCGUCCAGAUCCGUGAGGCACCACGAGAUUGCUCGCGGCCCUCCUCCUCACACGGGCCUUCCCAACCCACCACCGGUGUCUCCAUCCACCGCUUCAUCAUCCACCCAGGCCGGUUUUCUAUUUCACUAAUGUCGAGUUGGGCAGGUCAGGCGGAUGGAUUGUGGGAGCUUCAUGUCUUGAAGGAGAGGACCGUGCUGGAGCUGCGGGAGGCCGCCAAGGCCCUCACCGUGCGCCGCGCCGCCGACAGGACGCACCAUGGUGGCACUGGACAGGGACGUCCGCCACUUGCAGGCCCGACCACCUUCCUCAAGCCCACCAUGGCCUGCUACUUAUUUGGUCGGACAAGCUAUGGAUUUCUGUGUUGCGAUUUGUGAGUCAAUCUUCAAGUGCCAUCACAACACCUGUAGUUGAUAUUCAUGCCGGGAUUUAGCCUGUUAAGACGUUCGCUCUGGACCUUGAUUUUUUUCAUGCUCUUCUAAUGAGUAAAAUUCAAGAAUGGUGGAUAUAGCAAGUCUGGAAAGGGCCAUCUGAAGCUUCUACCAAUCCACUAAAGAGAAGAUUUCUCAUGUUCGCCUUUUUCUGCCGGUCUCUUGAAGCCGAAGCUGAUUACUGUCUCAAGCAAGGUGGCAUUCGUGAAUCCAAAGGCCACAAUCUACCAACGUUUGGCGCAAGGGGCCAGGGGUCUAGAAACGAAGUAAUUAAACUGACUACCAAUCUGCAGUUGAACGCGACUGAAUUAGCAUGUGCCAUUUCUCAAAACAAACUGUGAAAAUAUCUUUGUGAUAAGAACCUACAUUGUUAAAAAGAAAAUGGGUUAUGCUCAUGGCAGAUAAAUGUCUUCACAAUUCUCAGAAUGUAACUGAAUUAGUACCAUUGUAGAUGACUAUCACUUGGACAAGCGGAUAUGACAUCAGUUGAGGAUUUGUUUUGUUUGCUUCAUGCUCAUGUUGGUUCCCUAUUUUGUUGCACCUAGAUUAGCUGAUCUUAUGAAGAAGAGUAAUCCAAAUAGAAUAUCCAUGUUUAUACAUAGCUGCAUUUGUCAUCCGGCUAGGCUGGUUGUGGCCCUGACUUGAGAAUCAACAACGGUAGUACAGUUAUUAUCUUUGCUAUGCCUUCUGCACUUUGUACAUUUGUUUGAGGGAGGGACGAUUAUCAGACUAGCACAUUCUUUUGUUAUUCAAUCAAAUCAUGUGCUAUAUAUAAAUGACAGCCCUGGAUAUGCUUUCUAGGCCACACUAUCCAAGGGACAUAAAACAUUAUAUUUCACGGUACAUCAGACAACGGCUGUAGUGAGAGCAUUUUCUUUUGUUUGACAUGUAUAUUAUAUUUCAUUUUGGUUCCCUGGUACCACCUCUAAUUUUUGAAGUUCAAAGAUGCAGGUAUGCUUUUAGAAUUUCUUACCGUUGAAUUUUUUAGUUCUAUCCAACAAAAGAGUCAGUUAUGUAUAGUUUCUUUACUAGACAUAUAAUUGUUAAUGUGUAUCUGCAAAUAAAUUGAAAAUGUUUUAUCUGUUUGAUCUUCCUAAAAUUGUAGCAUGUCCAAGUCAUAAUAAAAAUGUUGCAUGAUUUGCUGCAGCUUGUGUCAUUUAUCGAUGUAAAAUAAAGAAUUAAAUAUCCCUUUGUAUAGUUAGUCAUGGAAUGAACUUUGAAAUAGCAAAGAUCUGAUGAAUCUAUACCAAGGACGUAUGACCUAAUGCAAAAUCUGCUAUCCACUUAAAUCCACAUGAUUGAUAACUAUCAAUUAUGUCGUUCAUUUGUCAAAUGUAUGGUUUCAACUAGAUUUUUUUGAGAAUUUAUAUACAUGAAGGUAGCAGGGUAUUGUGUCCUUUCUCCAUGUUUUUUGUUA